UACAGAGGGUGCAAGCGUUGUUCGGAAUUAUUGGGCGUAAAGGGCGCGUAGGCGGCUUUGCAAGUGACGGGUGAAAGCCCUCGGCUUAACCGAGGAACUGCCUGUCAGACUGUGAGGCUUGAGACCGGGAGAGGUGAGUGGAAUUCCCAGUGUAGCGGUGAAAUGCGUAGAUAUUGGGAGGAACACCAGUGGCGAAGGCGGCUCACUGGACCGGAACUGACGCUGAGGCGCGAAAGCGUGGGGAGCAAACAGG
rnacentral:rRNA from 1 species